rnacentral:rRNA from 1 species
CAGGCUUAACACAUGCAAGUCGAGGGGCAGCAUGGUCUUAGCUUGCUAAGGCCGAUGGCGACCGGCGCACGGGUGAGUAACACGUAUCCAACCUGCCGUCUACUCUUGGACAGCCUUCUGAAAGGAAGAUUAAUACAAGAUGGCAUCAUGAGUCCGCAUGUUCACAUGAUUAAAGGUAUUCCGGUAGACGAUGGGGAUGCGUUCCAUUAGAUAGUAGGCGGGGUAACGGCCCACCUAGUCUUCGAUGGAUAGGGGUUCUGAGAGGAAGGUCCCCCACAUUGGAACUGAGACACGGUCCAAACUCCUACGGGAGGCAGCAGUGAGGAAUAUUGGUCAAUGGGCGAGAGCCUGAACCAGCCAAGUAGCGUGAAGGAUGACUGCCCUAUGGGUUGUAAACUUCUUUUAUAAAGGAAUAAAGUCGGGUAUGCAUACCCGUUUGCAUGUACUUUAUGAAUAAGGAUCGGCUAACUCCGUGCCAGCAGCCGCGGUAAUACGGAGGAUCCGAGCGUUAUCCGGAUUUAUUGGGUUUAAAGGGAGCGUAGAUGGAUGUUUAAGUCAGUUGUGAAAGUUUGCGGCUCAACCGUAAAAUUGCAGUUGAUACUGGAUAUCUUGAGUGCAGUUGAGGCAGGCGGAAUUCGUGGUGUAGCGGUGAAAUGCUUAGAUAUCACGAAGAACUCCGAUUGCGAAGGCAGCCUGCUAAGCUGCAACUGACAUUGAGGCUCGAAAGUGUGGGUAUCAAACAGGAUUAGAUACCCUGGUAGUCCACACGGUAAACGAUGAAUACUCGCUGUUUGCGAUAUACAGCAAGCGGCCAAGCGAAAGCGUUAAGUAUUCCACCUGGGGAGUACGCCGGCAACGGUGAAACUCAAAGGAAUUGACGGGGGCCCGCACAAGCGGAGGAACAUGUGGUUUAAUUCGAUGAUACGCGAGGAACCUUACCCGGGCUUAAAUUGCAGAUGAAUUACGGUGAAAGCCGUAAGCCGCAAGGCAUCUGUGAAGGUGCUGCAUGGUUGUCGUCAGCUCGUGCCGUGAGGUGUCGGCUUAAGUGCCAUAACGAGCGCAACCCUUGUUGUCAGUUACUAACAGGUUCCGCUGAGGACUCUGACAAGACUGCCAUCGUAAGAUGUGAGGAAGGUGGGGAUGACGUCAAAUCAGCACGGCCCUUACGUCCGGGGCUACACACGUGUUACAAUGGGGGGGUACAGAGGGCCGCUACCACGCGAGUGGAUGCCAAUCCCAAAAACCUCUCUCAGUUCGGACUGGAGUCUGCAACCCGACUCCACGAAGCUGGAUUCGCUAGUAAUCGCGCAUCAGCCACGGCGCGGUGAAUACGUUCCCGGGCCUUGUACACACCGCCCGUCAAGCCAUGGGAGCCGGGGGUACCUGAAGUGCGUAACCGCGAGGAGCGCCCUAGGGUAAAACUGGUGACUGGGGCUAAGUCAUAAC